rnacentral:rRNA from 1 species
GAUGAACGCUAGCUACAGGCUUAACACAUGCAAGUCGAGGGACCGGCGCACGUGUGAGUAACACGUAUCCAACCUGCCCUUUACUCGGGGAUAGCCUUUCGAAAGCAAGCUUAAUACCCGAUAUAAAGGAUGGGGCUGCGUUCCAUUAGGUUGUUGGUGAGGUAACGGCUCACCGAGCCUUCGAUGGAUUGGGGUUCUGAGUGGAAGGUCACCCACAGAUGAACUGAGACACAGGCCAAACUGCUACGGGAUGCAGCAGUGUGGAGUAUUGGUCAAGGAGAGCUGGCCUGAACCAGCCGAGUAGCGUGAAGGGUAAAGACUUAUGUGACGUAAACUUCUUUUGUAUAAGAGUAGGGAGAAUAUGAAUAAGGAUCGGCUAACUCCGUGCCAGCCGCCGCGGUAAUAC